rnacentral:ncRNA from 1 species
UAACUUAUUCAUUGAUCUAUAUGGUGAUUAUUAAAUUAAUUUUGUUGUUCCAGUAGUAAGAAUUAAAUUUUUGUUAUAAAUUUUGAAUUAGAAAUUGAAUAAAAUUUAAAGUAGAUUAAUAUUUGUGCCAGCAUUCGCGGUUACACAAUUUACUUAAGUUAAUUUCAUUAUUUUUUUAAUUUAAUUUUUUAUUAGAUUUAAAUGUAAGUUUUAUUUAGGUGGAAUUUAUAAUUUGUUUUAAAAUCUAUAUAAUUUAUUUUAAGAUAAUUUCAUUAAUAAACUAGGAUUAGAUACCCUAUUAUUUUUAUUGUAAAUUUUUUUAGAAUGGUAUAAGUUAUGCUCUUUAAAGCUCAAAGAAUUUGGCGGUAAGAUAUCUAUUUAGAGGAAUCUGUAUAUUAAUUGAUAUUCCACAAUAGUUUAUACCUUUAAUUUUAUUUGUAUACCGCUAUAUUGUAGAUUGUUAUUUAAGUAAACUUUCUUUAAUUAAGUUUAAUUUAAUGUUAGGUCAAGGUGCAGUUUUUAAAAGGUUUAUAUGGAUUACUUUUGUUAUAAGUCUUAGGAUUUUAAUUUUUUUUUAAAUUAAUUUGAAUAAGGAUUUAAUAGUAAGUUUUUAAAUUAAUUAAUUUAACUGAAUAUUGCUAUGUUUUAUGCACAUAUCGCCCGUCACUCCUAGUUAAGUUAGGAUAAGUCGUAACAAAGUAAUUUUACCGGAAGGUGAGGUUAGGAAUAAUCAAUAUUUA